rnacentral:lncRNA from 1 species
AUGUGGGGAUACAGUGAGCACAUAGCUGUUUAUCUCAGUAGAGCAAAACAGCUCCUGUAAUAGUUUCUGAUGGGUAGUUACUGGUCCUUCCUCUUCAGGGUGUUUGGAGUCUGCAGCAGAGCUGCGGAGAGAGCCAGGGCUCCAGCCAGCAGCAUUUUGCUCUGCUCAAGGAUGUCUGGGGGUGUAUCCUGCAUACUCAGCCAGACAUGGGCAAUGAACCAUUUAUGAACUGGUUGUUUUAGGUAAGUGUUGCAUAUCUGUUAUCAUAUCUGUACAGAUAUGAAUUCCAUAACAGACAAAUUAUCCAAUAUUCUUAAAUAACUGCUGUUAAGUGUUGCACAUACUGUUAAAAUUUGUAACUAAAGACUGAUGGUUCUGUUUGGUCUUGAUUAAAAAUAUUUAUAUACCGUAAAAAAAAUCCUACAAAAUAUCAUCACGAGUGCUUGUGUAAAAAUACCUCUGUGCAGUAUGGCAGGCACAGGAAGAGCCUUGCUAAGAGAGAAAUAACUGUCUUGUUUCCUUUGUGUUAAAUCAUUUAAUCCAUGACUUGAAUUUCAGGGAGUUUAGUAAUGACCUUUUCCUUUCUUUCCCUGUCAACUAGAAAUCCAGUUGAUUACAAUUACAUUUUUUGAAAUAUAAAAUAACAGCAUAUAUUGUGACAAAUAUUGCAGCAUUUCACAUUUUUUGUAUCAAAGCCCAAACCAUUUUGAUCUAUGUUUGAGAUCAGAUUGUAAUACAACCUUUCUUCCAGUGGAGGAGUAAGAGGGUUCGAGGCUCUCUGUGUAUUCUUCUGACCUGCCAACUGUACCCCAGAAACUGCAGGAAUCAAAAUUUUUUAUUACCCUCUAUACAAACCUAGAAAUGUGGAAAACUUUUCACUUAAUUCACUCAACUAGGACCAAUUUAAGUGGGUGAAUGCAACAAGUCAGCCUGUACUAGUAAGCAAUCAUCUAUUGGCUUACUGAAAAGACAGCUAUGUCUCCUUGAGGCUUGUGCUAGAUACAGCUGAGUUUCCUUCAUUGCUGCUAUUUGUACUAAAAAUGUAAACAGAAGUCAACGGAUUUUAGAUAUUAUUCCUUUCUUGUUGCUGAUUGAGAUGUAACAUAGUAAAGUCAGAAGAUUCUACAUUAAGUAUUCUUUAGAGAAUUCAACAAGAUAAUCUGUUUUAAAACAGACCUAAAUCAAUGAGUUUAUUCAGUAACCUCUAGACAUAAAUGUACCUCUUUGACAAAGAAAAAAUCGGACUGGUCUCUGUGCAUUGUUUUUUGUUUGCUUUUUAAUCCAAAAUCCACAAUUCUUUGAUUCUGUGAAAAUACAGGCUUAAAUUGCAAGGAUUUUGCAUUUACAUGCAUUUCAUCAUAGUUUCUCAGAGGACAGAAUAGAAGCAGACACUACUCAUCUGAGAUACUAUCUUCUACAUUUUUGGAAACAGGUUAGAUAUAAAAAGCAGAAAGAUGGGGAAGACAUGAAAAUUGAGACCCACCAGUUUGACUUAGACGUUUUCAGACACGUUCACAACUUUAAUGUGAUGUUAAGUUAAAUAAAUGACACUCGAGUACAUCUGGCA